ensembl:lncRNA
UGUGUGUGUGUGUGUGCACAAAAACCACCGCUGCCGCUGCAUGAAUUUACGUGAGCAUGUGCGAACGUGUUUGCGGCCUGAUGUAUGUGCUUGUGUGUGUGUGUACUCAAAGAAAAUCUCAUGUGCAUGGAUUCCAGUGUGUGUGUGUGUGUGUGUAAUAGUGCAGCCUCGGGGGCCGCUGUGAAUGGUGCUAACCGGCCCUCUGAACUCCUCCCUGUGAAGGGAGAGAGAAGAGCCACCGGGCAUGAGCAGAGGACAGCGUGCCAUUUACCUGGGCUACGGAUGCUUUUUAAAACUGGCAAGAGGGACUUCUCACGCACACAUGCAUGUACGCACACACACGCAUGCACACACACACACGCAUGCACACCCCUCCCCCACACUCACAUGCCGGAGAUACUCCUGCCUUAACGCCUCAAACGCCAAAGCACACCUUUGCUCCCUCGCCUCAAACGCAAGCACACUUCAAAAGUUCUUUUUAUUUUUUAUUUUUGGAAGCGAUACAGGCAGAACUACCCGUGCGUUUAAAGAGCCUAACCGCUCUCUUCAUGUGCCCUUUUCCUGCGCUUGCGCUGCCUUUAUACCUGGUAGAGGUCAAAGGGCACUCUUAGGAUUGUCCCAAACUGAGGGAAAUGAGAAAUGGCUAAGGGAAGGUGUCUCGUUGCUCCCUUUCUUAGUUCCUUUAGCAAAGGAAACACUCAACCUACCUUUACCAAAGGAAAGAAGACCAUGCCGCCCCACAAUUCAUUUUAAAUGUCGCACCAUUUGGCCGUCCAUGAAACAAACAAUGCGCUUAUCUUACAGAGG